rnacentral:rRNA from 1 species
GAUGAACGCUGGCGGCGUGCUUAACACAUGCAAGUCGAACGGGUCGAGUUUACUCGGCUAGUGGCGGACGGGUGCGUAACACGUAGGUGACCUGCCCCGAAGUGGGGAAUAAUUCCGCGAAAGCGGGACUAAUACCGCAUGGGGUGGCCGAUUCGGUUCGGUCAUCAAAGCCGAAAGGUGCUUUGGGAUGGGCCUGCGGCGGAUUAGCUAGUUGGUGGGGUAACGGCCUACCAAGGCGAUGAUCCGUAGGGGGCGUGAGAGCGUGACCCCCCACAUUGGCACUGAGACACGGGCCAAACUCCUACGGGAGGCUG